UGCCAUGCUCCUGCCAUGGUGUUAACGGACUCAGCUUCUGAAAUGCAGUCCAGUCCUCUAGCAAGCCACCAACAUGAAUCAGCAGCUGCAGUCCUGUCCACUCGGCAAUCACCACUCACGAAUCAGCAAUGGCGAAGACGUAACCAUUCCAGAAGGAACCAUGAGGCUCCCCAACUAGUCGGAGUUCGAGGAAGUGCCAAGAUGCUGCUGGAAUAUCAGGAGGAGCUCUUCGGUGAGUUACUCUCUAUGAAGUCAUGACAAGUGACGAUCAGCAACUCGAUGCAAGGCAAACCAGUACAUGAGCAUCACCAGCAAAGACUAGCGAAGCAAAGCAAGGAGAACCAGUGUGAUAGCUUCCUCCCACUGUCUGUGGGGUUUAAACAUCACCUGUGUCUGCUUCAGCAAAACAUUGUGACCCGAGUCUCCAAAGAAGCCAGAAAUCUGCACUUCACACAGCUUUCAGUCUGUACCUCCACCCAGGGAAGAUGGAUGUGCCCACCGCUUUCCCAUACUCCACAGCCUAUACUCUCAGCCCUCCAUUCAGGUGGACCCUGUUCAUCCUCUAGACGCUGGAUGGCUACAUGUGGCUCCUGAAUGAGGGACCUGAAAACGGGGGACCUGCUGAGAAAUGCUGUCUUGGUUGGAGGGCUCCACAGAAAACAGAAAAAGUAAAAGUAUCCUGCACGGAUGCUGAAGGAGCAUGCUAGCUGCCAGAGUGGUUAAUGAGGCAUGCUGAUGCUGGGACAAAGAAUGAGGCUGAUCGUGAGCUUGCAUAUUUCCCUGACAAUGAUGCAUAGGACAGAAGGAAGGACUGAGCUUUGAGGACGAUGUCUGGGACAUCGUGCGCAUGCGGAACAUUUAUCAUCACUCAGAAGAUGUUGUGGAAACGGAUGAUGUAAACAUGAAGCCCCGGGACAGAGCCCGUGUUGGAGAGCAU
rnacentral:lncRNA from 1 species